ACGGUCUAGCCUGCUAGAUGGGUGGCGAGUGGCGAACGGGUGAGUAACGCGUAGGAAUAUACCCUAGAGUGGGGGAUAACUUGGGGAAACUCAAGCUAAUACCGCAUACGUUCUAAGGAGUAAAGCUGGGGACCUUUCGGGGCCUGGCGCUUUAGGAAUAGCCUGCGUACGAUUAGCUAGUUGGUGUGGUAAAGGCUCACCAAGGCGACGAUCGUUAGCUGGUCUGAGAGGAUGGUCAGCCACACUGGGACUGAGACACGGCCCAGACUCC
rnacentral:rRNA from 1 species